CACGUAGGAGGCAAACGUUAUCCGGAUUUACUGGGCGUAAAGCGCGUGUAGGUGGUUCUGUAAGUAGGGCGUGAAAGCUCCCGGCUCAACUGGGAGAGGCCGUUCUAAACUGCAGAGCUAGAGGAUGGUAGAGGGAGGUGGAAUUCCAGGUGUAGCGGUGGAAUGCGCAGAUAUCUGGAGGAACACCAGUGGCGAAGGCGGCCUCCUGGACCAUUCCUGACACUCAGACGCGAAAGCUAGGGUAGCAAACGGGAUUAGAUACCCCGGUAGUCCCU
rnacentral:rRNA from 1 species